AGCAGCAGGAGCAUCUUUAGGGAUCCCUAUGAUGUCAUUGAGAGGCAGCGGCGAGAGGGGAGAUCUCGGCUCAUCCAGCUGGAGAGCCUGACCAGGAGGAGUGGAACAUUAACUCAGCUCUUCCAGGGCACCUGGGCAGACUCGGCUGUUGGCAUCGGCGAGGGAUGAUGUGAACGCCAAACUGGAGUCCAUCACAGGUCAACUGCAGCUCCUUGUCUCAGAGUGGGAGGGAUUUGAAGCACAAAGGGAGGAACUUGUCGUUUGUUUGGCUGAUAUGGAUGUCCGCCUGAGUGAGGUUGACCAGCUGACAGGAAACGCCAGUGAAAAACUGAAACAACUGCAGGUGUG